UUAACGAAUUGUGAUUGGGAGGACUGAUGCUGGUGGCUUUUGGCCUCAUCGUGCUCGUCUCCCGACCAACUAUCUUUAUCCUUUGACACCCGUGCACCUUUGUGAGGGUCGUGAUUUAUCCGCCUUCUUUUUACAAAACCGAAGAAUCGUAUGGAAUGUGAUUGUGCCGCAAGGCCUUAAUGUGUAUAAUACAACUUUUAACAACGGAUCUCUUGGCUCUCGCAUCGAUGAAGAACGCAGCGAAAUGCGAUAAGUAAUGUGAAUUGCAGAAUUCAGUGAAUCAUCGAAUCUUUGAACGCACCUUGCGCUCCCUGGUAUUCCUAGGAGCACGCCUGUUCGAGUGUCGUGAAUUUCUCAAGCUUCUUAUUUAGCUUGGUAUUGGGCGAUUGCCGUGACCUUUUUUUCUAAAGGAAUGGCUGGCCUUAAACGAAUUAGCUGAUCCUUGCGUGUGUUUGGUUCUACUCGGCGUGAUAAAUAUUCGUGAUCGCGGGAGGACAUCUU
rnacentral:rRNA from 1 species